rnacentral:lncRNA from 1 species
UAUUUGUAAUUGAUGGCUGCAUUGUUGUUUUCAUAGUGGAAAUAUGUUUUCUUUUGGUUUGGCACCGGAAGUUCAGAGCUUCUUUGCCUACAAGUAUGAUCUAUUAAUGUACUUUGGGGAUGUUUGUGUUUUGGUAGCAGUUGGUCAGAACGGUUUUGGGGAAGGCAAGUCAGAUGAAGAUGCUAAGGAGCAUGUUGAUGAGCAAAAUGGUAAGACUGAUGAACUGCCGGAAGAGAGUGAUCCUCGACCUGCUUCUGAGGGUGCUCAA